rnacentral:rRNA from 1 species
GUUUGAUCAUGGCUCAGGACGAACGCUGGCGGCAUGCCUAACACAUGCAAGUCGAACGGAGAUAUUAAUGAAGCUUGCGAUUUAAUAUCUUAGUGGCGGACGGGUGAGUAACGCGUGGGUAAUCUGCCCAUAAGUGGGGGACAACAGUUGGAAACGACUGCUAAUACCGCAUAUGCUGAGUAAUCAGUAAAGAUGGCCUCUGAAUAUGCUGUCGCUUAUGGAUGAGCCCGCGUCUGAUUAGCUAGUUGGUGGGGCAAUGGCCUACCAAGGCGACGAUCAGUAGCCGGCCUGAGAGGGUGAACGGCCACACUGGGACUGAGACACGGCCCAGACUCCUACGGGAGGCAGCAGUGGGGAAUAUUGCGCAAUGGGGGAAACCCUGACGCAGCGACGCCGCGUGAGCGAUGAAGGCCUUAGGGUUGUAAAGCUCUGUUUUAAGGGACGAAUGUUACGGGAAGUAAUAUGUCCUGUAAAUGACGGUACCUUAAGAGGAAGCCCCGGCUAACUACGUGCCAGCAGCCGCGGUAAGACGUAGGGGGCGAGCGUUGUCCGGAAUUACUGGGCGUAAAGAGCACGUAGGCGGGAACUUAAGUCAGGUGUGAAAGACCGAGGCUCAACCUCGGGGUGGCACUUGAAACUGGGUUUCUUGAGGGCAGGAGAGGAAAGUAGAAUUCCUGGUGUAGCGGUGAAAUGCGUAGAAAUCAGGAGGAAUACCAGUGGCGAAGGCGACUUUCUGGACUGACCCUGACGCUGAGGUGCGAAAGCGUGGGUAGCAAACAGGAUUAGAUACCCUGGUAGUCCACGCCGUAAACGAUGGAUACUAGGUGUGGGAGGUAUCGACCCCUUCCGUGCCGCAGCUAACGCAAUAAGUAUCCCGCCU